UCUGAUCUGCAUUUUGUGGAAGGAACCUGUAGGAGAUAAAUAAAAUUCAAGAUACCUCAGGCUCUCAGCAAGUCACAAGAAAACAAGAAAACAUGAUGCUGUCUGAGCAAUUGGUACAGGAAGCCUGGACACAUUGCUGAGGAAAUCAGAACUUCUUUGCAAAAGGUGGUGACAAUCUGUGGCCAAGAUGCUGCCGGGAGAUGAUUACAGGCACAGGAGAGGAGUUUCAGGCAGGAAACAAAAGAAGAGGGAACAUUUCACAACUCAUUUUAUGAAGCCAGCAUUACCUUGGUACCAAAACUGGGCAAAGACAGUACAAUAAAAUUUCAGACCAGUAUCCUUCAUGAACAUAGACACAAACACAAUCAACAAAAUAUUUCAG
rnacentral:lncRNA from 10 species